AUCCAGAUGACGAGUCCCGAGUAGGAGGGAAUGCGCAUCCUGGAU
rfam:Trichobilharzia regenti genome assembly, scaffold: TRE_scaffold0101436